rnacentral:rRNA from 1 species
UACGUAGGUGGCAAGCGUUGUCCGGAUUUACUGGGCGUAAAGGGCGUGCAGGCGGUUUGUUAAGUGCAGAGUGAAAGCUCCCGGCUCAACUGGGAGAGGUCUUUGCAUACUGGCAAACUCGAGGGAGGCAGAGGAAAGUGGAAUUCCCGGCGUAGUGGUGAUAUGCGUAGAUAUCGGGAGGAACACCUGUGGCGAAGGCGGCUUUCUGGGCCUUACCUGACGCUGAGACGCGAAAGCGUGGGGAGCGAACCGG